CUAGAUUUAAGUUUGAUCAUGGCUCAGAUCGAACGCUNAGCGGCAGGCCUAACACAUGCAAGUCGAACGGUAACAGGAAGCAGCUUGCUGCUUUGCUGACGAGUGGCGGACGGGUGAGUAAUGUCUGGGAAACUGCCUGAUGGAGGGGGAUAACUACUGGAAACGGUAGCUAAUACCGCAUAACGUCGCAAGACCAAAGAGGGGGACCUUCGGGCCUCUUGCCAUCGGAUGUGCCCAGAUGGGAUUAGCUAGUAGGUGGGGUAACGGCUCACCUAGGCGACGAUCCCUAGCUGGUCUGAGAGGAUGACAGCCACACUGGAACUGAGACACGGUCCAGACUCCUACGGGAGGCAGCAGUGGGGAAUAUUGCACAAUGGGCGCAAGCCUGAUGCAGCCAUGCCGCGUGUAUGAAGAAGGCCUUCGGGUUGUAAAGUACUUUCAGCGGGGAGGAAGGUGUUGAGGUUAAUAACCUCAGCAAUUGACGUUACCCGCAGAAGAAGCACCGGCUAACUCCGUGCCAGCAGCCGCGGUAAUACGGAGGGUGCAAGCGUUAAUCGGAAUUACUUGGGCGUUAAAGCGCACG
rnacentral:rRNA from 1 species